rnacentral:lncRNA from 1 species
UUGUCGAAGCAUCUGGCGAAUCUGCGAUGAGCCACAGUCAGACAGUGGGACUGCCUGCUGCCAGUUAGAGAGUGCAAAGUCCUCCCUGCUGCGCUAGGCACUUUUCUGCUCCAGGCUUUUGAAAUUGAAUAUAUACUGGUGGGAAGUUUGCGCUGCAAGGCGACAGGCAUAAAGGAUCUGCAGUGACAUGGAAUCCGCUGACCAGUUGGAGAUGCUCCCAAGAUGGAAGGACAUGGAGCGACAACUUGGUACAUGUCCUUCUCGACCGGUGAAUACUUGCCUGGAAAGCAAUUCAAAACAUUAGUAUGACAGAGCUCGGAUUGAAUUAACAAUCUUUGGGCUUCCCCGAGGUCUCGAUGCUCAGCAACAUGUUGAGGCUGAAAAGUUAUGUCCUCAGACUCAGUUUAAUCAAAGUUCCACUCGCAGUGUCGAUCAAACAGUAGUUGACAGCUACCUUUUUUAUUGUACCAGUCAGUACGUCAGCAUUGCUUCUUCAGAGACGGUUGUUUGGAAGAAUAAUUGACACUUUUUCGCU